GUAACACUAACUGGAGGACCGAACCGACUAAUGUUGAAAAAUUAGCGGAUGACCUGUGGCUGGGGGUGAAAGGCCAAUCAAACCGGGAGAUAGCUGGUUCUCCCCGAAAGCUAUUUAGGUAGCGCCUCGUGAAUUCAUCUCCGGGGGUAGAGCACUGUUUCGGCUAGGGGGCCAUCCCGGCUUACCAACCCGAUGCAAACUGCGAAUACCGGAGAAUGUUAUCACGGGAGACACACGGCGGGUGCUAACGUCCGUCGUGAAGAGGGAAACAACCCAGACCGCCAGCUAAGGUCCCAAAGUCAUGGUUAAGUGGGAAACGAUGUGGGAAGGCCCAGACAGCCAGGAUGUUGGCUUAGAAGCAGCCAUCAUUUAAAGAAAGCGUAAUAGCUCACUGGUCGAGUCGGCCUGCGCGGAAGAUGUAACGGGGCUAAACCAUGCACCGAAGCUGCGGCAGCGACACUGUGUGUUGUUGGGUAGGGGAGCGUUCUGUAAGCCUGUGAAGGUGUGUCGUGAGGCAUGCUGGAGGUAUCAGAAGUGCGAAUGCUGACAUAAGUAACGAUAAAGCGGGUGAAAAGCCCGCUCGCCGGAAGACCAAGGGUUCCUGUCCAACGUUAAUCGGGGCAGGGUGAGUCGACCCCUAAGGCGAGGCCGAAAGGCGUAGUCGAUGGGAAACGGGUUAAUAUUCCCGUACUUGGUGUUACUGCGAAGGGGGGACGGAGAAGGCUAUGUUGGCCGGGCGACGGUUGUCCCGGUUUAAGCGUGUAGGUGUGUGUUCCAGGUAAAUCCGGUUCACUUUAACACUGAGGCGUGACGACGAGGCACUACGGUGCUGAAGCAACAAAUGCCCUGCUUCCAGGAAAAGCCUCUAAGCAUCAGGUAACAUCAAAUCGUACCCCAAACCGACACAGGUGGUCAGGUAGAGAAUACCAAGGCGCUUGAGAGAACUCGGGUGAAGGAACUAGGCAAAAUGGUGCCGUAACUUCGGGAGAAGGCACGCUGACACGUAGGUGAAGUGAUUUACUCAUGGAGCUGAAGUCAGUCGAAGAUACCAGCUGGCUGCAACUGUUUAUUAAAAACACAGCACUGUGCAAACACGAAAGUGGACGUAUACGGUGUGACGCCUGCCCGGUGCCGGAAGGUUAAUUGAUGGGGUCAGCGCAAGCGAAGCUCCUGAUCGAAGCCCCGGUAAACGGCGGCCGUAACUAUAACGGUCCUAAGGUAGCGAAAUUCCUUGUCGGGUAAGUUCCGACCUGCACGAAUGGCGUAAUGAUGGCCAGGCUGUCUCCACCCGAGACUCAGUGAAAUUGAACUCGCUGUGAAGAUGCAGUGUACCCGCGGCAAGACGGAAAGACCCCGUGAACCUUUACUAUAGCUUGACACUGAACAUUGAGCCUUGAUGUGUAGGAUAGGUGGGAGGCUUUGAAGUGUGGACGCCAGUCUGCAUGGAGCCGACCUUGAAAUACCACCCUUUAAUGUUUGAUGUUCUAACGUGGACCCGUUACCCGGGUUGCGGACAGUGUCUGGUGGGUAGUUUGACUGGGGCGGUCUCCUCCUAAAGAGUAACGGAGGAGCACGAAGGUUGGCUAAUCCUGGUCGGACAUCAGGAGGUUAGUGCAAUGGCAUAAGCCAGCUUGACUGCGAGCGUGACGGCGCGAGCAGGUGCGAAAGCAGGUCAUAGUGAUCCGGUGGUUCUGAAUGGAAGGGCCAUCGCUCAACGGAUAAAAGGUACUCCGGGGAUAACAGGCUGAUACCGCCCAAGAGUUCAUAUCGACGGCGGUGUUUGGCACCUCGAUGUCGGCUCAUCACAUCCUGGGGCUGAAGUAGGUCCCAAGGGUAUGGCUGUUCGCCAUUUAAAGUGGUACGCGAGCUGGGUUUAGAACGUCGUGAGACAGUUCGGUCCCUAUCUGCCGUGGGCGCUGGAGAACUGAGGGGGGCUGCUCCUAGUACGAGAGGACCGGAGUGGACGCAUCACUGGUGUUCGGGUUGUCAUGCCAAUGGCACUGCCCGGUAGCUAAAUGCGGAAGAGAUAAGUGCUGAAAGCAUCUAAGCACGAAACUUGCCCCGA
rnacentral:rRNA from 1 species